UAUAUUUAUAAAAAAAAAAGGGUUAAAGCUGGACCUGGCACCCAGACCACUUCAUUAAGCUGAAGUGGUCUGGGUGCCUAUAGUGGUCCUUUAAGGAUAGGGGCUUAUAUCCUGAUGGUAGGUUACCUUCAAUUUUGCAAUGAAUAUAAGGUUAAAAAAAUGGUUUUGUUUAAUGCGUUUAAGAUCUGAUUUAUAGAAUUUAUCUAAAAUUUAUUAUCUUAAUAUUAAACUACGUGAAAGUACAAUAGUCCAGAAUCCACAACUACAGCAGGAGCAGUGUGUACAGUAGAUAGAUAUUAAAGAAUGCUUUGCAUCAUUGCACUAUAUAUGCAACAGUAAUUUUUUUUUUUUUUUUAAGUAGCUAAAUUGGAACAAACAAUAAUUUUUCCAACUCACCAGUUUUGGAAAAAUAUUGGGACUUUGCUGUUGUCGCCUCAUCAUAACUCACUUUUAAGUUAAUAAAAUUGUAAAAGUUAUUUUUUUUUUGUCAGUGAUCUGUUUAUUUAAACACACAAAUGUUGCCAUUUUUAUAUUCAUAAA